rnacentral:rRNA from 1 species
AAUGAACGCUGGCGGCAUGCCUAACACAUGAAAGUCGAACGAAGGCUUCGGCCUUAGUGGCGCACGGGUGCGUAACGCGUGGGAAUCUGCCCCUUGGUUCGGAAUAACAGUUAGAAAUGACUGCUAAUACCGGAUGAUGACGUAAGUCCAAAGAUUUAUCGCCGAGGGAUGAGCCCGCGUAGGAUUAGCUAGUUGGUGUGGUAAGAGCGCACCAAGGCGACGAUCCUUAGCUGGUCUGAGAGGAUGAUCAGCCACACUGGGACUGAGACACGGCUCAGACUCCUACGGGAGGCAGCAGUGGGGAAUAUUGGACAAUGGGCGAAAGCCUGAUCCAGCAAUGCCGCGUGAGUGAUGAAGGCCUUAGGGUUGUAAAGCUCUUUUACCCGGGAUGAUAAUGACAGUACCGGGAGAAUAAGCUCCGGCUAACUCCGUG